rnacentral:rRNA from 1 species
GGUCACUGCUAUCGGUGUUCGUCUAAGCCAUGCGAGUCAUAUGUUCUUUGGAACAUGGCGUACUGCUCAGUAACACGUGGAUAACCUGCCCUUGGGUCCGGCAUAACCCCGGGAAACUGGGGAUAAUACCGGAUAACGCAUAUAUGCUGGAAUUCUUUAUGCGUGAAACGGAUUCGUCUGCCCAAGGAUGGGUCUGCGGCCUAUCAGGUAGUAGUGGGUGUAAUGUACCUACUAGCCGACGACGGGUACGGGUUGUGAGAGCAAGAGCCCGGAGAUGGAUUCUGAGACAUGAAUCCAGGCCCUACGGGGCGCAGCAGGCGCGAAAACUUUACAAUGCGGGAAACCGUGAUAAGGGGACACCGAGUGCCAGCAUCAUAUGCUGGCUGUCCGGGUGUGUAAAAUACACCUGUUAGCAAGGGCCGGGCAAGACCGGUGCCAGCCGCCGCGGUAACACCGGCGGCCCGAGUGGUGAUCGUGAUUAUUGGGUCUAAAGGGUCCGUAGCCGGUUUGGUCAGUCCUCCGGGGAAUCUGACGGCUUAACCGUUAGGCUUUCGGGGGAUACUGCCAGACUUGGAACCGGGAGAGGUAAGAGGUACUACAGGGGUAGGAGUGAAAUCUUGUAAUCCCUGUGGGACCACCUGUGGCGAAGGCGUCUUACCAGAACGGGUUCGACGGUGAGGGACGAAAGCUGGGGGCACGAACCGGAUUAGAUACCCGGGUAGUCCCAGCCGUAAACGAUGCUCGCUAGGUGUCAGGCAUGGCGCGACCGUGUCUGGUGCCGCAGGGAAGCCGUGAAGCGAGCCACCUGGGAAGUACGGCCGCAAGGCUGAAACUUAA